GCUCAACGUGGAGCCCCGGUCUUGCAUCAUGGUGGGCGACAAGCUGGAAACUGAUAUAAAGGGUGGAAAAGAAGCUGAACUGGCGGGAACAGUAUGGAUCCCGUUACAAAAAGA
rnacentral:lncRNA from 1 species